GGAUACUUAAAAAUAAUCUGUCUAAACUUGUUGUUCAGGCCCGUCCCUGUAAGAUUCUGCAGCCAAUGUAAGAACAAAGCAAGGGUGAUAUAACAGUCAGUUAGGGGUAACCGUCAGUCUUUCCUCCUGCUACACCUUAGCUUCCGUGAAGAUGAGGUUGAUCACAGUUUUUCUGCUGAUUGCGUUCUUUGCUCUGUUCCACUGCUGGACACCACAAGAACACAGUGAUGCAGGUAACUCAGAAUUCUAUUACUAAGCAGGAAUGGUAGACAUUUAUAAAUCUAGGAUGGAUAAGAUAGUGAAAGUGGAAUUGAGAUAAACAUAAUUACAUCACAAAGUAGCUCUAUGGGCAUUGGAACCAUGUUUAAUUGCAGCAAAUUGAACAGUGAUAAUUAAUUAAUCAUUGUAUUGAUACUUUUUUUAAAUUUAUAUCUGUAAAAGAUGUCCAUGAGCAAAACGUCACUACAAGUAAUUACUUGUAAACCUUCCAAAUUGUCUCAAUUUAACCAUUAUGGAUUAGUAAAAGAUUAGACCGUGUUGUCCCCCAGAGGUACUCUUAAUUCUUUGCCAAGAUCUGUGUGGUUUAUUUUCCUUUGGAGUACAUGUCCAGACUAACGACUGGAUUCUCUAAGAGUUUACUCUGCUCAUUGAAUAGAAAUUCCUCUGCUGAAGGCUAUUGGAGGGAGGGAGUGAGGGAGUAAACCCUUAUUCUGCCAAAAUAAUCCAGCCCUAUUUGUUUAAUUGUUAGGGAAGAUUAAUAUAACAGAUAUUCAAACUAUUGCUACAUGCACAAACCCAUAUCUUUUUGAGGUUUUACUUUCCCAUUAAUCACAAUCAUAACAAUUAAAAGAUUAGCACAAACAUUAAUGGUAUACUUUGGCUGCCAUAACUAUAUUUGUUGCUUGGAUGCAUAGAGUGCAUGAAUGCACCUAUGUUUAAUAUAUAAACAUAUACGUUUUAUAUACACACACAAAUGCAUGUGCAUGUGUUUGUGUGUGUGUGUGUGUGUAUGUGUGUAAAACUUGUAUGUCACCAAUAGUACUAAUAAGUCAUAAUUUGUAGCAUUGAUUGUUCUACAUUUGGACAGUGAUCUUGUGCUCCUCAUAGUUACAUAAUUAUAUAAAUUGAACAAAUAAAUCAACCAAAUUCAACCUACCACUUACCUGUAUCUACUUUAUAUUCCUAAAGGGUUUCUCUGAACAUCAGGAGUACCCUGGUCCAGUUCCCUGGUAAUGGGGCAAACUGUUUAGCAGUGGUUCUCCUUACUUGUCAGGUGACACUGUUCCAGCUUCUGCAGAGCUGCAUAAGCCAAUAUAGUCUCCACUCAUUGACUGAGAGUGUCAGCUGAUGCCCCAAAGACAGGUGUCAGAGGUAGAGUUACACCUCAGGCAGCACAGGGGUUAAAUUCUGUAUGUGCAGAGUUUCAUAGCGAAACACUGCACAUACAGACUCCAUACACAAUGACCACUUCAGGUUACUAAAGUUUACAUGGUGUUUGGAGUAACAUUUUUAAGGCAAAAAUCCAACAUGUAAUUAUUCCCAAUUAUGUUCACAAGAGAAAAAAACAAUAAUUCUUGACUCCAAAGUGGCAAUUAUUUUUUUCUUGGAUCAUCAAUAUGUUAAAAGCUGUUACAGCUACACAGAUUUUCCUUUAUAAAAAAAAUAUGUUAGCAUUUCAUAUAUUGUGUAGUUUUUCAAGAUGUUUCAAGAAAGCAUACAGAAGUAUACAGUAUUUGGAAUGCUUAGGCUGAUUCUGACUGCUUCUUUCGUCAUAUUUCCUGUACGGUGGAGUUUUUGUUGAUGUAUUUGCUAUGGCUUUUAUUGGUCUUAAGUUAUUUUCACUUUCAGUUUUUAUAAACAAUGUUUAAACAAAAACAUGCACACCAAUGCCACUAAUAAUACUAUGUAAACCUUUAUUAAUACAAUAUAAAAUACUUCUAUAUGAAAUAAACAAAAUGAGAAAAAUAAGUGAUAAGGCUAAAAAGUGCCUACCAGAGCGAGAAAUCCCAUAAUGUAUUUCCAGUUACCUGAGAAUUAAUAUAUACCCCAUACAUAUAAAUUGAUGACUAUAUCCACUGUUCCGUUUCUGAGUCCCUUUAACAUUAUCCAGAGGCUGCAAGGAAAGAUCAAUGUGAAAUACAGAAAAAAUGGAAUAUGGAGUGGUGUAAAAAAACAUCUGUAUUAUACAGUUAUACAGAAUUUUCCAAUUCUAUAAUAUGUUUGUUUUUCCAUCUAACAGAGAAGAGAGAUACUCAAGGUCUGUCGAGAAAAAGCAGAACUAUAGGUAAGGAAGAUGAUAUGUAAGGAGUAGGUACCUAACUAUAGGUAAGGAAGAUGAUAUGAUAAUAGACUACAUCGUUGUUCCCCUGCCCUACAAUAUGCCCACAAGGAUGGGCAGGAAAUUUGGAUCUGUUUGCACUUUUUGUUACCUUGUUUAAUAACAUUUAUGCCUGUUAUUCUUAGUAGGCAGCUCUUUAUGACUUUGUUUUCAUUUUUAAUAUUCCUUAUUUUAUGCAGAUGACAGAAACAUUCAAUUUUGUGCUUGAUGAAAAUAUGUUACAAUGGAUGACUUAUAAGAAUAUAAAUGAAGGUAGAAUCAUAAGUGUAGAAGGAUGAAAUUAGAUUGGUUCAUAGUCAAAUUAAUUUGAAUAAGACACGAAUUGAUCAAAGUGUCUAUAACUUGUAUAUUGAACUCUUAGCAUAAUAAAUAUAACAUUAUUUUAUAUUGUUUAACCAUGUUUAAGGCUUAGUGAAAAGUAAAGGAAAAAACAAAUUCUUAUACUUCUACUUCUGUAUAUUUAAAAUAUCUGCGUUGUUAUACCAAUCAAGUAAAUUUUAGUUCACCAUGCACCUACGGUGGUCAAAAAGAAAGAAAAAUAUGUAAAUGAAUAAUUCACUAAAUAUUGUUUAGAAGUAUCAAGUAAUGACCUUGUGUGUAUGUUGGUAUGUUGAUUUUUUUAUUAUUAUUGUAGAACAUUAAGCCCUCAAAAGAAGACUCACUGGAUGUGUUAUAUGAAUUAUGCAUUGAUAAUGGUUGAAAAUUAUGCCUUUUUUUAGAUGCUCUAGGAUUUAUGCGCAAUGAGAAGAGAUCCACAAGAUACAUCUGUGUGAAUCCUGCACACCAACAUGGACACCGUAAGAUUAUUGGAACUUUAUUCUAGAUUUAUAACUGCCUUAAGUCCAGCUAUUUCUUAGGGCAGAAAGAGUGAAAGGCAUCAUUGAGGAUUUUAUCUUAUUUGCAGGCUAAAAGAGCAAUGGAAUGUGUGUUUUUUUUUGUGUGUGUGUGUGUUUAUGUUUCUAUAUAUAUAUAUAUAUAUAUAUAUAUAUAUAUAGAUAGAUAGAUAGAUAUACAUGUUGAACAGUAACAUUUAAUAACUUGAAUUAUUGCUGAAAUGUUGGUCAUGUUUGUUUGAUUAUGUUACUAUCUAUCUAUGACUUAUUCUAUCAUCACCAAUGAGAAGUCUAUUUUUGGUUGCUGGAUUUUAUAUACUAUGCUAGGCACUUGAAAUUCCGCAGAUCUUGAGACAAUUAAGGUCACUUUGCUAAGUAAAUUUAUUGUUUAGUUUGAGUAAAUUGACCAUUCUCUAAGCAAAAUAUUUCUUCCAAGUGACUUCGAUAAAAUUUCUUCAUCAGGAGCUGAAGUCAGCAAAUUAUCACUCUGUCCAAAGUGGGUACCCUUUGAAUAUAUGUUUUGUUGACGUCAAGUGCAGUAUUGCCAACUUAGAAAAGUGAUAAUGUUUAUUUCUUAAUAAUUUCUUAAUAAUUGUCACCAAACUUUGGCAAAAGUCCUAUACAAUUUCUUUCACACUGAUUCGACGUGUAAUAUAUAUUUUGUUGUUUUUAAAGGUAAAAAACGUCACAUGAAAGCACCCCACUCUCGCCACAAUUGCGGUCGUCGAUGCUCCGGAGCAUCAUGUCAAAAGAAACCACAUAGGAAACAGAGCAGCAUUUCCAUACCUCUGUCUUAAGGAAUGUUCAAAUUACCAACAUGCCUGAAUCUCAACCCUGCAUAACAUUGAGAUAACUGUUACUGUCAACAUUAUUAACCUUUUUCAUAAUAACUGCUAUACCCCUCAUCCUAUAUUCUCAUCACUAUAACUCCUAACUAGUGUGUUUGUCAUUUAUUUACCAUUAGCUAAUUAUUCACUAACACAACAGUCUGCUUUAAAUUAUUUUGCUAAUAGGAUGUAAUUCGGUAUCCUUUGAUUUCAACUUGCAACAGUUUGAAAUGGGUGGAACAAGAUAAAAGUUGAUAUGGAUGCAAUGCUUAUCCCAGCCAUUCAUACUCACAGAAGAUUACUGAUGCAUGCAGAAUAUAUAUAAUAUCAUACUAUUUUGUUUCUUUCUAUUACAUUGCUGUUGGAAUUGAAAAACAUAUGUUCUAGGUAUUUACUUAUUUUUGAAUUUACUAUAUUUAGUGAGGAAUCACAUUUCAAGUUUUACUUAGCUUCACACAUUGAUGCCUUCUGAUUUUUUUAAUGGGUAGUUCUUUAUGAUCUUGUCACGGAUGAAGCCAUGCCCGAGAAACAGGGAAAAACACAUCAAAUUCCUUAAUGGAAAUCUUUCGUCUAAAACCAAAUCAAUUUCGUUCUAAAAGCGUGAGAAUAGUUUCUGCAUCAUUACAUGCAACACACAUACAUAUUGUCAAACAGACACUACACAAACCCAGACCACUUAAUCUCAAUGAAGUGGUCUUGGUACAGUUACACAGUCCUUUUAAACCCUUCCUGACAGGCACAAAAAGCAUUUCUACUGCAUUGACAUAUAAAAACUUGGUCUCAUGACUCAGAAGAUCACAGGAAAGCAUUGAACACAAUAAGAAGCUUUGAAUUGGCCACUUGAGGAGGAGGCCAUGCUUCCUUGAUGAUGUUGCCUGUAAUGGAGCUCCUUGUACUCCGGCUGAGUACCCUCCGUUGACGGAUGCUCCUAGCGCUUCCUGAGGACUCCAAGCAGUGCAGCAGACACCACAACCACCGCAGACUCUGCAACCGCUGUGUCUUGACUGGAGUCUCGCCGUUUUCCUUCCACCCUGGAUCAGCUUUUGUCCUUCCUUCCACCCUGUAUGAACCUCCAGCAUCCAGGACUGUGUGGUGAAGACCCCUCCUCCAAGGAGAGUGUGUAAGGAACAAGCUCUUAAAAGAGCUAAGUGAUUCAAGCUCAAUGGAGCAUGCAGAGCAUAGCAAUCCCCAGGGUGAUUAUAACAGCUCCCUCCAAUAACGAGACAAGGCUAUGUUUAGAGGGACCAAGAAGAACUGUCUAAACCUUUAUUUCCCUUGGGACCAGCCCAUAGGGUCACCACAAUAACAUUGUUGUGAAACCUCAAUAAAAUCAAAAACAGUCAAACCAUAGCAGGCAACACACAGUGACUUAUCACAACACAAUGGCACAUUUUUAAAGGGGUGGGGGAGACAAUAUUCAACAGUAAAUAUCUCACCUGCCUGCAGAAUUAGCAAUAUGCAAAUCUACCCAAAUAUGCAAAUGAACCAGUCUUGCAAUUCAGGUAGUGCAUAUUGCUGUUGCUACCAACAGAGGGCACUAGACAAGCUCCAUAGCCAAACCCACCUAGUUGGUAGCAAACCUCAGCAGUACAGGAGAGCAGGAAAUACAUUUCACAGUACACACACACACACUAUAAACAAUUACAUUACACACACCCUGCACCUAUAAUGGGUACAGGGUGACUAAAACAUAAGAUAAAUAAUGCAGCCUACAUAAAUAGUCUGUCUGAAGGUAGACUAGGGGCUUUAAAGCCAAAUACAUGAAAGAGUCACAGUCACAGGGGAGUAGGCUGUCAAGCAGGCCUCUCUAGGACCAAGUGGCGAAGGGCACUUCGUCACAUUGCCGAACGGGGAAGAAAUGGGACUUUUAUAGAUUGGAAAAGGGACAGUAUAACAUGGGGAAUAUAGGUUUGUACCCCAAACACUAAUGUGUUCAUUUAAAUGUUUUAUUUACAUUAACCUGAAAAAGUCUAUCAAGCUUAAAUUACAACAUUGUAGAUAAAGAUAUUAAUUCUAUUAAAAAAACUCUGCCGCAUCAUAACACAUAUAACUGCAUCUAACACUAGCACAAUAUUUCUGUGAUUAGUGCAGAAAAAAUUCUGAAAUGUAAUUCUAGGGCUAAGCAGCAGGAUAGUAGGAAUACCUCAGGCAGCAGUUGUACAGCACACAGGUUUUAAUAGUUAAAUAGUUGAAUGAUCCACCGUUUUUACACCAUUUUUAUUUAGUAAAUAUGUGUGUGUUAUAUUUCCAGAUUUGUUAUUGUUUCAAUUAUAUUUUGUUUUAAAUAAAAUACUGCACAUUAUUUGUAAAAUAGCUUAAAUUGGUAUUUUAUAUAUAAAUCUAAUGAAACCUACACUACAAAUCUUUAGAGAAAUACUUUAUUAUAAUUACUAUCAUAAUUUUUAUUUUUGAGGUUUGACAGAGGCGUGUUGCUGAAAUGUUCAACAUUCACUGUUUUUGGAUGUAGUUGAAUUAAUAUAUUCUUUAAUUGAAGAUUUGGAGAGCGGAGACUUUCAUUUUUGUUCGAUACUGUCAGUACCUAGGGCAUGAACCCAUUGUCUGCAAGAUCUAGGAAUAAAGUGAGGGUAUCUUUAAAUAUUUUCUGUCGCUUAAACAUAUACAGUGUCAUUAAUAGUGUGGCCCAAUAUGUAUGUGUAAGACAAGUUUUGUAAUUUAAAAAAGUACAAAGUGAAUAGUACUUGCUAAUAUAGCAGAGAAAUGUGUAAAUUUAUACAAAUCCCUAAAACCUAAAAUAGAUUGUUUAUUUGCCUCAUAACUUUUCUAUGUCACACUUUGAUAUACAAACUGUUCACCCUACCUACCCAGAUAGCAAUAAAUAUCAUCAUAUAUCUCUCAUAUGAAAUUCCACACUGGCUUCCUGAUAAUCACUUGCACGGCACAUUGCACAAAUACAAUAUGGCUAUAUGCAACAUUACACCUCCUUUUAAAUCCAGGACUUUGUGUAUCUAUGAUGAAUUCACUGUUACUCUGGAAUGGAGUUCCGUACUGAAACUAAUAUUUUUGUUGGUCAGCUAAUGAAAGAAGUGGAAAUUUGCAUAAAAUGGUUUUAUCAAUAUUAAGAAAAGAAGUAAUAUGGGUGUCUGAGGGACCCAGGCUAGUAUCAAACCACAGUUUGACUUGUUAGGGUGAGACGGCACCAGGUUAUUUCUUGGAUCAUAAUCACUGUAAUGGGCUGUAGUUGUUAUGUUACUUAGAAUCCCCCCUUUAAACCCUUAAGCAGCAAACUUCUGGAAUGUCAUGUGUCCUUAAGGGGUUAAACCAAAUGGUAAAUUAUCAUCAUUUUUUAUUAAGUAUCAAAAUAACAAAUAUAUGUAUUAUUUUAUAAUAAUUAUGUGUACGUAAAAAUUUCUUUAGUACAUCACCAGGCUGUUGUAUGGGAGCAGGAAUCCUGUUGCAUGGGAGCAGGAUUGCUCAGAGAUCUCUGUGCUUAGUUGGAAUGAAAAGCAGUAAUGCAGAUAUUCACACAUGCAAAUAAUGAAAAUAAAAAGUUAAUAGUGAAAUGAUGAAUACAUAUUGUUGUACAUAAGUAGGACAAAUAACAAUCAUGGAUACAUGAAACAAAUGUGGUAUGUGUGUUCUGAAUUGAAUCUAUAAAAUGAUGUAUUAUUUGCAUUCAGAUCUUAACUGCUGAUUCCAAUGACAACUGGUGACAUUUCAAGUUGGUGGGGCACCAGACUGGAUAUGUGGAUAUGUCUCUGCCUUCUCUGUUCGUGAAUGUUUUGAUCAUGAAUUUGUCUACCAUUUUCGUGGCAAUCUCUUACAUAAGAAAUAAAC